rnacentral:lncRNA from 1 species
AUGUGGUCCCACCUCAACAGCGUGAGCACUGGGAAAGCAAACAAUCAGGAAGAACUUCUGUUCUCCCAAUCAUGGGCAGCUCUGUUUGCACAGUGCUCAGACAGAGGACCACUUGCUGACAGAGUGGCAGAGAGCAGGGAAGCACCUCGAGGACUUCAGAAGAAUGUUGACCUUUAGACAACAGUUAGCGGAUAUGCAACAUGUCUUGUUGCUAUUUUGGUGUCUGUACUUUGUAAUCUGAAAAUUCGGUAUAUCAUUGAAAUAAUAAGAAAUUUUGUCCCUGUGCUCUGCUUUAAUGCCUUAAUGAAACCUGGUAGUGAUAUUUCUGGUGCAAUGAUUUUAUGGUGUGAUGGAAAAUGUGAGCUUUAACCUGGGUUUGAUUACUUAUCAGAAAAGUUGGCAGAAGCAGUUUUAAUUCAAUAUCUGUGACUAUGUGGCCACAUUGCAUCGUGUUUUCAUCUGUCAGAUAGAAAAUAAAUUAAAAUAACUUAUUUCUGCA